rnacentral:tRNA from 1 species
ACUUUCAAAGGAUAAUAGUAAUCCAAUGGUCUUAGGAGCCACACAUCUUGGUGCAAAUCCAAGUGAAAGUA